CUCGCCGCCGGGGGAGGGGGCGCCUGCCGCGGGCCGUGGCCUUGCCCCAAGGUGGGCGCGCUGACGACAGUUGAUUUCCUGGGAGGAAGGGAAGACGCGGGGAUGCGGGGAGACUGCAAAGGAGGAAGGGAAAGGGAGCUGUGGAGGUUUUGCCUGCACUGGAGGAAGAGGAAGGAGACGCAGAAGGAGGAAGCGGCCGGGGCGAGGGGCUGCCGAACAAAUGGGGGAACCUGCGUCCACUGUUUGGGCGCCAGAUUAGGGGGCUGAAUCUGAGCAGACGAGAUCCUGCCGUGGAAUUCCCUUCCGAGAUCUCCCUCGUGAGCCCCGCCCCGGGUUCCCAGCGAGGUUCAGAGCUGGCCCAGACCAACUUCCAACCCGUCCACUUCACACAUGGGAAAACUGGAGCUCUCGGAAGAGAAAUGACUCCUACAAGGUCAUGCCCGCCACAGAUCCAGGCGCGGGACCCGGAUGCUCGGCCUCCCAUCUGUGUUCUGUCUCCAGGCAGAGCCCUGACUCGCUCCUUCCCGCGGAGCGGUGAAACAGGCUAGAUGUCAGCGGGCAACGAGGACCACCCUGGGAAGAGAUUCAGAGCUUCCCUGGGCCCCGGAGGGAGUCAGUUCCUGGAAGGUUCUAAUUGCCAGUGAGCCCUGGAUAGCCAUGCCAAUCAGUGGCUUCAAGGCAACUCCCUCUAUCCGGUGCUCAAAUAAACGAAACCCUGGAGUUCACUUCACAGCCCUGCCGGAAGCCCAGAAAGCUUAUUCUGUGCUUACAGCUUCAAAAAAUAUCUGCGAACUGGAUGAAAGGCAAGCCUGUUCUUGGAAGGUUUGAGUGGGACUUUUUUUCCUCAGACGGUUGUAAAUGUGAGCAACCAGGGGACCCACCAAUUACUGUGUCAGGGGGUCAAAAUGUGCAGCAGCCAUUGCCUGGAAGGCACUCCAAGGCUGGAGACUGUUUCCUUGUAUUUCUAUCCUACUGAUGUCCUCACCUCAGCACAUCAUAAAAACACUUUCUCACUGGUUUGUUAGAUCUUCUUGUUAGGACAAAUUAUAGUCCAUCGUUUACAUUUGAGGUAAAAAGUCAGGUAAAAUGACUUACCCAACACAAAAUAAGCAACAGAGCAAGCACCUGAACCCACCUCCCCCCAGCCAGGUCACCUGACUAAUCCCAUGAUUUUUCCACCCAGCAAGGAGGCCCUGACCUCCUAAUUUCUGUUAAUGAAUGUUGAGAGUACACCGUGAGUUAGUAAUUCAUGAAACCUCCAAAACUUGGUUCUUUUGGGAUUUGGUGGGAUUCUUUUUGACCAAGAAUUAAACAAACGCGGAAACGCAUUUCUGCACUUACCAUUUAUCGAGCAUCUUCUUAGUGCGAAGUCUUUGAAUCCAGACAUUCUUGAGUCCAAAUUACUCCAUCUCUCUUGCUCUCAGUUUCUCAUCUACUCAUACAAAAAUAUGAAAAUAGUAGUAGAGGUAAGGUCAAGGGUACCUAUUCUGUGCAAUAAUGAAGUAUUUUUGUCUUUGCAACUAAUGUAGUUUGAAAUAGGAAACAUGAGCUCUUAAAGAGAUUUUAUUCUGGGGCUUUAAAAAGAUCAUUCUAUUACACCACAAUUCACUUACUCUGUUCUCAACAUUUCAGCAAACCCACGUUCUGAGUGCUACUGUUUAACAUGAAAAACUCCGGGUAUCACACAAACUAAGAAUAGAUUCACCCAUUCCCCAUUGGACAUAAUGGGACUUGACCAGUGCUGCUUUUUUUUUCUUCCCCAGUAACCCACUUAUAAAGAAUAAUAGGGUUCUAAUGAGGAUUAAUAAGAUUUAAUAAUGUAUAAUUAGCAUUCAUUUCCUUCAUCAUACACAUUGUAAGAGUGCAGUGUUAGAUCCAGAAAUGCUCCUAAUUAUGUUGAAACUGUCGUAUGAGUGUGUUGGGGAAGAUCACUGUGUCUCUCCUCCUGAAAUAUUUAUGAAUUGCUCAGGUGGGCCUAGAGUUAGCACAAGCAUUAUAUAAAGUUAAUCACAAAAGAUAAUUUCUACUCAGGUGGCACUCACCAGGAGUGUAAGAGGCAAAGUCAUAAAUUGGAUGCUUGGCGAACCGCAUGCAGUGUUGUCAUCAGUGCAAACCCAAAUCAAAAGCCUUCUCAUUUGCUGAUCUGGUUUCUUUUGUAUUCACACUUUUCUCAACAACCCUAUUAAAACCUGCUGAGUGCAGGGACUUGGGAAAGAAGGGAAGGCUGUGUAAAUCUGCAGACUCAGUGCUAGAGAAAUACAGGUUUACCAAUUCAGAGACUAAAAGAAGCACGGAAUUUCAGGUGGGGCGGAGGGCAUGUGAUUGGAGGAUUGCCAGUGAUGACACCGAAGACUGAACGCUAGGCUGUGUUCCCACCAUUUGCUUGCAUCCAUGACAAUCGCUUUCCCCAAGGCCUUUGUGUAGCUCUUGUCAGUCCUUUCUCUGUCCUCAUAUAUGCCUGGCAAUAGUCUAAGGAUUUUUAUCUGCAUUUCACUUAACCCUCAGAAAACCCUUCUGAGGUUGGCAUUAUUAUUUUCUCUAGCCCAAGGAGGUUAAGUAGCAUGCUCUUAACACAGAGCUAGUACCCGGUUAAACUGAGAUGCCCCACUGAGCCCAGGCAGCCUGACUCUUCCCUUACCCACUGCUGAGUGGCCAUCUGGUCUCAGAUUGAACAUUCCAAUGUGCAGAACUCAUAAUCUGCCAUGGCUGACCAAGAGGAAAAGAUAUGAAGAGGCUACUGGAGGAAAAAUAAGAACAGGGACAUUGAAGAUGGAAGGCAGAGGAAGAUGCAGAAGGUAAAAGGCCUGGGCAUUUAAAUAAAAUCGGAUAACUUCCUCAAGAGAUGAAGACUGGAUGUAAGCAGACCAGUGGGAAGGGAGAGGAAGAAUCAACAGGGCCUGGCCACUUGGAAACAGAAGCAGGAUGGACAUGGGGAGGCAAAGGAGAGGAAGCAGCCAUUGGCAACACCUGGGACUUACGAUCAAGUGUUAUCCAGUGAGUGAGUGAAUGCAAGAAUCCUUCAUCUCGGCUAGAAAAACAACACAGUUGAUCGUCUCUCUGGAAGACUGGUCAUGUUAUCUUAGACCAUGACUCUGGGCAGUAAGGACAGUAUCCUGUGCUGUGAGAUGGAUAGAGGCUGGAGCUGAGCUCACGGAGCUCCCACCGCAUCAUGCCCAGCACCACCUUCGCUCCAAACUGGGCCUCAGGAAGGCGUGCAACCCUGCCAUGGCUGCAAGCCGGGUUCUCCAAGCAAGAAGCAAAAUGUCCGUGUUUUAUAAUCUGCAACUCACAUCACUGAGGUUUUCAAGUAAACAGACUAAACAUUCUUUUGGAUAAUUCUACUCAUUAAUCCUUCCCCGGAUGACUCAUCCGGGAGUGAAGUCACGACCACACUCCUGGGACUCCAUCUCUAGAGAGAAGAGCUAAUCAUAAUGCUUUCUUCCCUGCUUUCUGGUGGCGAGUCCUCUGAAGUCAAAGACCCGAGCCCAGUCAUCUUCUUACCCAGCAUCUGUCUAACAUCUUGCAGGCCUUCAGGGAAUGUUAUGUAUGAGACUUUCUGGACUCAGCUUCUCCUUCUCUAAACAAAGAUUGGGAUCUAAAUUGCUAAUAUCGGGCUUCCCUGGUGGCGCAGUGGUUAAGAAUCCGCCUGCCAGUGCAGGGGACAUGGGUUCGAGCCCUGGUCUGGGAAGAUCCCACAUGUCGCGGAGCAACUAAGCCCCUGCGCCACAACUACUGAGCCUGCACUCUAGAGCCCUAGAGCCACAACUACUGAGCCCACGUGCCACAACUACUGAAGCCCGUGCACCUAGAGCCCGUGCUCCACAACAAGAGAAGCCA